rnacentral:rRNA from 1 species
GACGAACGCUGGCGGCGUGCUUAACACAUGCAAGUCGAACGGUAAGGCUCCAGCUUGCUGGGGUACACGAGUGGCGAACGGGUGAGUAACACGUGGGUGACCUGCCCUGCACUUCGGGAUAAGCCUGGGAAACUGGGUCUAAUACCGGAUAGGACCGCACCGUGAGGGUGUGGUGGAAAGUUUUUUCGGUGUGGGAUGGGCCCGCGGCCUAUCAGCUUGCUGGUGGGGUAAUGGCCUACCAAGGCGGCGACGGGUAGCCGGCCUGAGAGGGUGGACGGCCACAUUGGGACUGAGACACGGCCCAGACUCCUACGGGAGGCAGCAGUGGGGAAUAUUGCACAAUGGGCGGAAGCCUGAUGCAGCGACGCCGCGUGGGGGAUGACAGCCUUCGGGUUGUAAACUCCUUUCACCAUCGACGAAGGGUUUCUGACGGUAGAUGGAGAAGAAGCACCGGCUAACUACGUGCCAGCAGCCGCGGUAAUACGUAGGGUGCGAGCGUUGUCCGGAAUUACUGGGCGUAAAGAGCUCGUAGGUGGUUUGUCGCGUCGUCUGUGAAAUUCGCGGGGCUUAACUCCGGGCGUGCAGGCGAUACGGGCAUAACUUGAGUACUGUAGGGGAGACUGGAAUUCCUGGUGUAGCGGUGAAAUGCGCAGAUAUCAGGAGGAACACCGGUGGCGAAGGCGGGUCUCUGGGCAGUAACUGACGCUGAGGAGCGAAAGCAUGGGGAGCGAACAGGAUUAGAUACCCUGGUAGUCCAUGCCGUAAACGGUGGGCGCUAGGUGUGGGUUUCCUUCCACGGGAUCCGUGCCGUAGCUAACGCAUUAAGCGCCCCGCCUGGGGAGUACGGCCGCAAGGCUAAAACUCAAAGGAAUUGACGGGGGCCCGCACAAGCGGCGGAGCAUGUGGAUUAAUUCGAUGCAACGCGAAGAACCUUACCUGGGCUUGACAUAUACAGGAUCGCGCCAGAGAUGGUGUUUCCCUUGUGGCUUGUAUACAGGUGGUGCAUGGUUGUCGUCAGCUCGUGUCGUGAGAUGUUGGGUUAAGUCCCGCAACGAGCGCAACCCUUGUCUUAUGUUGCCAGCACGUUGUGGUGGGGACUCGUAAGAAACUGCCGGGGUUAACUCGGAGGAAGGUGGGGAUGACGUCAAAUCAUCAUGCCCCUUAUGUCCAGGGCUUCACACAUGCUACAAUGGUCGGUACAGUGGGUUGCCAGUCCGUGAGGGCGAGCUAAUCCCGCAAAGCCGGUCUCAGUUCGGAUCGGGGUCUGCAACUCGACCCCGUGAAGUCGGAGUCGCUAGUAAUCGCAGAUCAGCAACGCUGCGGUGAAUACGUUCCCGGGCCU